GGUUCUGUGGUGUAGUCGGUUAUCACGUCAGCCUUACACACUGGAGGUCCCCUGUUCGAACCUGGGAAGGACCA
rfam:Picea glauca, whole genome shotgun sequence.